AGGGUUCGAUUCUGGCUCAGGAUGAACGCUGGCGGCGUGCUUAACACAUGCAAGUCGAGCGAAGCACUUAUGAUGAUUCUUCGGAUGAAUCAUUUGUGACUGAGCGGCGGACGGGUGAGUAACGCGUGAGUAACCUGCCUCAUACAGGGGAAUAACAGUUAGAAAUGACUGCUAAUGCCGCAUAAGCGCACAGGGCCGCAUGGCCCGGUGUGAAAAACUCCGGUGGUAUGAGAUGGACUCGCGUCUGAUUAGCUAGUUGGCAGGGUAACGGCCUACCAAGGCGACGAUCAGUAGCCGGCCUGAGAGGGUGAACGGCCACAUUGGGACUGAGACACGGCCCAA
rnacentral:rRNA from 1 species